AGAUACCACAUUGAUGGAUGGUAGACCAUUUCGUGCAGAUAUUUUCUGGUUAAUGUGUUUUGGCAACCAAAUAUUUAUGGACGUAUAACAAUUUUCGAAGAGUAUUUUCGCGGAAGUUUUCUACAAAAUUAAAAGCUGUGAACGCAGAAAUUCAAUUGCCAGCACUUCAAUGACACCUUAUAAAUGAUGCGUUGCCAUGAACAACUUGAAUGGCAAAUGCUUCAGGAAAAAUAGAAGAAAUUCCAGAAUU